rnacentral:rRNA from 1 species
UACGAAGGGUGCGAGCGUUAAUCGGAAUUACUGGGCGUAAAGCGUGCGCAGGCGGUUCGCAAAGUCUGAUGUGAAAGCCCCGGGCUCAACCUGGGAACUGCAUUGGAAACUAACGGGCUCGAGUGUGGUAGAGGGGGGUGGAAUUCCACGUGUAGCAGUGAAAUGCGUAGAGAUGUGGAGGAACACCGAUGGCGAAGGCAGCCCCCUGGGCUAACACUGACGCUCAGGCACGAAAGCGUGGGGAGCGAACAGG